rnacentral:rRNA from 1 species
GUGCCAGCCGCCGCGGUAAUACGUAGGGGGCAAGCGUUGUCCGGAAUUAUUGGGCGUAAAGCGCGCGCAGGCGGCUUCUUAAGUCUGAUGUGAAAGCCCACGGCUCAACCGUGGAGGGUCAUUGGAAACUGGGAAGCUUGAGUGCAGAAGAGGAGAGUGGAAUUCCACGUGUAGCGGUGAAAUGCGUAGAUAUGUGGAGGAACACCAGUGGCGAAAGCGGCUCUCUGGUCUGUAACUGACGCUGAGGCGCGAAAGCGUGGGGAGCAAACAGGAUUAGAUACCCCCGUAGUCC